UACGUAGGGGGCUAGCGUUAUCCGGAAUUACUGGGCGUAAAGGGUGCGUAGGUGGUUUCUUAAGUCUGAGGUGAAAGGCUACGGCUCAACCGUAGUAAGCCUUUGAAACUGGGGUACUUGAGUGCAGGAGAGGAGAGUGGAAUUCCUAGUGUAGCGGUGAAAUGCGUAGAUAUUAGGAGGAACACCAGUUGCGAAGGCGGCUCUCUGGACUGUAACUGACACUGAGGCACGAAAGCGUGGGGAGCAAACAGG
rnacentral:rRNA from 1 species